UACAGAGGUCUCAAGCGUUGUUCGGAUUCAUUGGGCGUAAAGGGUGCGUAGGUGGCGCGGUAAGUCGGGUGUGAAAUUUCGGAGCUUAACUCCGAAACUGCAUUCGAUACUGCCGUGCUUGAGGACUGGAGAGGAGACUGGAAUUUACGGUGUAGCAGUGAAAUGCGUAGAGAUCGAUAAGGAAGACCAGUGGCGAAGGCGGGUCUCUGGACAGUUCCUGACGCUGAAGCACGAAGGCCAGGGGAGCAAACGGG
rnacentral:rRNA from 1 species